rnacentral:rRNA from 1 species
CCUACGGGAGGCAGCAGCCGCGGUAAUACGGAAGGUCCGGGCGUUAUCCGGAUUUAUUGGGUUUAAAGGGAGCGUAGGCCGGCCUUUAAGCGUGCCGUGAAAUUUUGUGGCUCAACCAUGAGAGUGCGGCGCGAACUGGAGACCUUGAGUGCGCGGAAGGCAGGCGGAAUUCGUGGUGUAGCGGUGAAAUGCUUAGAUAUCACGAAGAACCCCGAUUGCGAAGGCAGCCUGCCGCAGCGUUACUGACGCUGAAGCUCGAAAGCGCGGGUAUCGAACAGGAUUAGAAACCCGAGUAGUCCCAGAUC